AUUGAACGCUGGCGGCAGGCCUAACACAUGCAAGUCGAACGAGUGGCGCACGGGUGUGUAAUGUCUGGGAAACUGCCCGAUGGGGGGGGAUAACCACUGGAAACGGUAGCUAAUACCGCAUACCCUAGGAUGUGCCCAGAUGGUAUUAGCGAGUAGGGGGGGUAACGGCUCCCCUAGGCGACGAUCCCUCGCUGGUCUGAGAGGAUGACCAGCCACACUGGAACUGAGACACGGUCCAGACUCCUACGGGAGGCAGCAGUGGGGAAUAUUGCACAAUGGGCGCAAGCCUGAUGCAGCCAGGCCGCGUGUAUGAAGAAGGCCUUCGGGUUGUAAAGUACUUUCAGCGAGGAGGCGUUACUCGCAGAAGAAGCACCGGCUAACUCCGUGCCAGCAGCCGCGGUAAUUC
rnacentral:rRNA from 1 species